ACCCCAACCCAGGUGAGGGUACCCAUCGAGUUUAAGCAUAUCAAUAAGCGGAGGAAAAG
rnacentral:rRNA from 1 species